UACGAAGGGGGCUAGCGUUGUUCGGAAUUACUGGGUGUAAAGCGCACGUAGGCGGAAUGUUAAGUCAGGGGUGAAAUCCCGGGGCUCAACCCCGGAACUGCCUUUGAUACUGGCAUUCUCGAGUCCGGAAGAGGUGAGUGGAAUUCCGAGUGUAGAGGUGAAAUUCGUAGAUAUCAAGAGGAACACCUGAGGCGAAGGCGGGUUGCUAGGCUGACACUGACGCUGAAGCGCGAAAGCUAGGGUAGCAAACGGG
rnacentral:rRNA from 1 species